CCUCCUUGUGGUAUUGUUUGUAAAAACGUCAAAACGACCUCAGGAAUGAUACAAUAUUUUAAUCAUUUAGUUUUUAAUACAUUUAAUAUAUGAGUGUUAUGGGAGCAAUAGAAGUAUCACUGUCUAGAUUAACCUAACCUUAAUUUCUUCAAAAUCUACAAUACAAAGAUACAUGAUUUCGAUUGAGUAAAACAAGUACAACAGUCACUCGAUAAUUCGAAAUUCAGGGGACCUAGUUAAAAAUUCGAUUUAUAGAAGUUUUUGAUUACUGAGUGUUCGAAUAAUUGAAGGAAAAAAAAUUGAUUCAAAUUAAAGAGAGGUCAAAAAUUAUUGUAUAUGAGCAAGCGGAAUCAACAAUCAACAUAUAAAAAUAUUCAACGGAUUCGAUGAUCGUAAGUUUCUACCAGGUAAAAAGGUCAUUUUAGCGGAAUUGAUGCAUGCUCCUUAGUCGAUCGAUACGAACUUUUUAAUCAUAAUCAUUAGAGCGUUAUUAUUAACUCCGCGUUUUAGUCAUAUCUCACUAAAAGAUUAAUGAAAAAUAAAACUACA